GUCGUACGCUAGCCGCUGAAUUGAUCCUUCGGGUGAAGUGAGGCAAUGACUAGAGUGGCGAACUGGUGAGUAACACGUAAGAAACCUGCCCUUUAGUGGGGGAUAACAUUUGGAAACAGAUGCUAAUACCGCGUAACAACAAAUCACACAUGUGAUCUGUUUGAAAGGUCCUUUUGGAUCGCUAGAGGAUGGUCUUGCGGCGUAUUAGCUUGUUGGUAGGGUAGAAGCCUACCAAGGCAAUGAUGCGUAGCCGAGUUGAGAGACUGGCCGGCCACAUUGGGACUGAGACACUGCCCAAACUCCUACGGGAGGCUGCAGUAGGGAAUUUUCCGCAAUGCACGAAAGUGUGACGGAGCGACGCCGCGUGUGUGAUGAAGGCUUUCGGGUCGUAAAGCACUGUUGUAAGGGAAGAAUAACUGAAUUCAGAGAAAGUUUUCAGCUUGACGGUACCUUACCAGAAAGGGAUGGCUAAAUACGUGCCAGCAGCCGCGGUAAUACGUAUGUCCCGAGCGUUAUCCGGAUUUAUUGGGCGUAAAGCGAGCGCAGACGGUUUAUUAAGUCUGAUGUGAAAUCCCGAGGCCCAACCUCGGAACUGCAUUGGAACUGAAGGAUCA
rnacentral:rRNA from 1 species